rnacentral:tRNA from 1 species
GGUGUGGUAGCUCAGUGGUAGAGCACUUGCCUAGCAAGUGUGAGGCCCUGGGUUGGAUUCUCAGCACCA